rnacentral:rRNA from 1 species
GACGAACGCUGGCGGCGUGCUUAACACAUGCAAGUCGAACGGAAAGGCCCUGCUUGUGUGGGGUGCUCGAGUGGCGAACGGGGGAGUAACACGUGAGUAACCUGCCCUUGACUUUGGGAUAACUUCAGGAAACUGGGGCUAAUACCGGAUAGGAGCUCCUGCUGCGUGGAGGGGGUUGGAAAGUUUGGGCGGUUGGGGAUGGACGCGCGGCUUAUCAGCUUGUUGGUGGGGUAGUGGCUUACCAAGGCUUUGGCGGGUAGCCGGCCUGGGAGGGUGACCGGCCACAUUGGGCCUGAGAUACGGCCCAGACUCCUACGGGAGGCAGCAGGGGGGAAUAUUGCACAAUGGGCGGAAGCCUGAUGCAGCAACGCCGCGGUCGUGAUGACGGCCUGCGGGUUGUAAACCGCUUUCGCCUGUGACGAAGCGUGAGUGACGGUAAUGGGUAAAGAAGCACCGGCUAACUACGUG